UGUGAUUGUUAAUACUUUGAAAACACCUUUAUAAUUGAGAUAAUUAAAAAAAAAAUUAACCUUAACUGUUGAUCCUGAAACUAAAGCAGAAGAGGUUUUUAGUCGUUGCUCGUGUCUUCUGUGUUUGCUUAUGGUGUUGCCCCGCCACCCGUGUUAAUAAUUCCAGCACGCGCACUCGCACGCACGUACACUGCUCUCUGACUACUCUGUUUGCGCGCUUGGAGCAAGCUUCAGGAAUGACGUCGCUGGGUGUGGUGACUUUAUGAGCUCUGAGCCCUGAGUUUGCUCAACAUCGCUUUAGUGGGAGACUGGGGUCUUUUACACUCCAGCAGAGACCAGACCCAGCAGAAGUCUGAGUUUAGAGAGUUUUUAGUGGGUAAAAGUAACGAGAGUUUACACACUGUUUUACACACAUUCUUUAUUCAGGACAGGCGUGUUCCCUACCCCGUGUAAAUGUGUGUGUGUGAGAGAGAGAGCUCUGAGCUUCAGGGAUGCCCUUCCUCUCUCUCUCCGCUUGUCGAGCCUCAUUAAUAGAUUCUCAGUACAGUACAUAGGAAAUGAGUCAGAGGAGCUCAGAGCCCAGUGCGUGGGUGUGGGCGCUAUUAAAACAAGGCCGAGACUCGCGGUGACUCAUUCACAUGCUCGGCCCUCUCCGCAGCUCAAAAACAGCGAGCCAGCUGCGGUUCUUUAUCUCCUCCACACUGUUUUACACGCAGGAUCUCAGCGCCAUGGACCUCCACUCCGCGUGUCGGCUCCUGUGUUUAGUCCUCGUGGCCGGGACUCAUUUAAGCGGAGGAAUACACGCGGAGAAAAACCCAUCCUGUCAAUACCAAGAGUUUUACAACAAUGAUCUUGGAGAAUGUAUACCCUGCUCUAUAUGCAUAAAAUAUCCCAAAACCCCAUCAUGUGACACAUGCCCAGCCGUAGUGCCUUCAGACCCUUGGAGGUUGGCAGCCAUCACCAGUUUUUCAGUGCUUGCAGCUUUGGUUGUUUUUGGAUCAUUGCUAAUAGGAGUUCUAGUUCAUCAAUGCAGGUCCAGAAGGACUUUACGUGAGCCAAUUGAGGAAACUACAGGACCACUUUAUCCAGUGUAGGAGCAGCACUAA
rnacentral:lncRNA from 1 species